UGCGUAGGCGGGCUAAUAAGUCAGUGGUGAAAUCUCUCGGCUCAACCGGGAAACUGCCAUUGAUACUGUUAGUCUUGAGUUCGGUUGAGGUAGGCGGAAUGUGUAAUGUAGCGGUGAAAUGCUUAGAUAUUACACAGAACACCAAUUGCGUAGGCAGCUUACUAGACCGACACUGACGCUGAGGCACGAAAGCGUGGGGAGCGAACAAGAUUAGAUACCCUGGUAGUC
rnacentral:rRNA from 1 species